ensembl:snRNA LOC120100214 U7 small nuclear RNA
AGCUAUUAUAGGUCUUUUAGAAUUUUUCUAGCAGGUUGUCUGACUUUGGUAAGAAAACCCAU